UACGGGGGGUGCGAGCGUUGUCCGGAAUCACUGGGCGUAAAGGGCGCGUAGGUGGUUUGAUAAGGGUGUGGUGAAAGUCCGGGGCUCAACCCCGGAUCUGCCGUGCCGACUGUCAAACUCGAGGACUGUAGAGGCAGACGGAAUUCCGGGUGUAGCGGUGGAAUGCGUAGAGAUCCGGAGGAACACCGACGGCGUAGGCAGCGCCCUGGACGACACCUGACGCUGAGGCACGAAAGCUGGGGGAGCGAACAGG
rnacentral:rRNA from 1 species